AUUUCUCCAAACCUCAUCACCAAUCGAUUUCCCCAUAUCACCACUCCCUAAAAUCUCUCCAACCACCAAAUCCAUCAAUAUCUAUCAGUUUUGCCCGUACAUAUAUAUAUAUAUGUCUUCCCUUUAAUCUCAGCAAAUUACCGUCUUCCGUUCUGCAAUUUUUCUUCUCCUCCGUUAAGGGUGAAGGAGAAACCGAAGGAGCGUGAAUUUUUUUGCCAAUACCUUCUGUUUGAGCAAUUUUCGUUCUAUACCAAAGGGUUUUCUUUCGCAAGCGAGUAAGGCGAAGUGAGAGUUUUCAAGUUAAGAAUAUUAAGAGAACGAGGUUGAGCGUGCCGGGUGCGGUGGGUGUUGAGCAAGACCGUUGAAGAAAGUUAAGU